GUCAGAAAUAGGGGUACAGUAGGGGUCCAUUUCUGUCCCCCAAGGUACAAUCAACACAAAAGUACCCCAUAGGGCUCAUUAUUGGACCUCAAGGUACAUGUAUGUACCUUUUUGAGGGUCAAAAAGGUACAUAUUUGUUCCCAAGCAUUAAAAGGUACAUAUUUGUACCAUUUCUUUUAAAGGAUAAGGUACAAUGUUAAGAGACAGCCUCUUGCCAUUUUUUUUUAUUUGUUGUUCUAGACAACUGCUGUAAAUCUGUUCAGUAACGUAAAUAACUAUUGUGUCAAUUUUUGUUUCCUUUAGUUGGACACAUGGGUAUUGAAGUAGUAUUAGUUUUCUUCUGUUCAUUGACAGUGUGUUUAAUUUUAAAUUUUAAUGAAAAAAAAGUUAAUUUCACUUAAUAAAAACUGUGAUAUGAACUCAAAAACUGCAAUUGAUUAACCAUUAUUUAAACUGAAUAAAUACUGAAAAACUGAAUCCCUCACACACACCGAAAAAACCCCGCGCUUUUAUUUUGACACGCGCCCAUCCCCCCACAUCUCACGGUCGGAGUCAGUUUCACAGAGCAGCGCAGGAGGACGACACAGACACAUACAGAAGAACAUUAACAGUUUAGGGCAAACGUUUCCGCGCAAGUUUGAAUCUCUCUGUCAGUCAGUCAGGGGGAGAUUAACUGACUGACUGUCUACACGCGACCAAACAGUCAGUUAUACAGAAACCUUUUUAAGUUUAGUUUGAAUCUCUCUCAGUCAGUCAGGGGGAGAUUAACUGACAGACUGUAUAACGUUACAGGCCACCAAACAGUCUUACCAAGAAACCUUUUACAGUUUAGCACAAAUGUUUCCCGUGGAAGUUUGAAUCUCUCUCAGUCAGGGGGGAGAUUGACUGACAGACGGUCUACUUGCCACCAAACAGUAAUUAACCCUGAAACCUUUUUAAGUUUAGCACAAACGUUUCCUGCGCAAGUUUGAAUCUCUCAGUCAGGGGGGAGAUUGACUGACUGACUGUCUGUCUACUCGCCACCAAACAGUCAGUUACACAGAGGUAACAAGGUAACGUUACCACAUUUAUUAUGUUGUUUGAGUACACCACUGUUCUGUAAGUGAAAAAUAAUUCAUAUUUAUGUGUUUCUCUCUCAGUAAGGACUAACGUUAACUGACUGUCUGUCUGUCUGUCUGUCUGUCUGUCUGUCUGCUCUCAACCAAACAGUCAUUCAAGACCUUUUAAAGGUAACAUUACCACAUUCAUUCAUUCAUUUAUUAUGUUGUUUGAGUACACCACAGUUCUGUUAAGUGAAAAAUUAAUUAAUAUUUGUGUGUGUUUUCUCACAGUUUAGCACAAACUUUUCCCGCACUAGUUUGGAUCUUUACCAUUGAGGGUGGCUGCCUGUUUUCGACCAACCAUCAUUCACACGCAGAAACUUUAAAGAUAAGUAUGAACGUGCCCAGAGCAGUUUUCGAUCUUUACCAUUAAGGAGGCUGACUGACUAUCCUCUACCACCCAUCAUUAACACCAGAAAAACUAAAGAAAUGUUACUCCAUAUGGACCUAUUCAUUUACUCAUUAUGCUGUGAGUACACCACAGUUUUAUCAGGGAAAAAAUUUAUAUUUGUGUGUUUUCUCACUGCUUGGCAAGGACAGAUGUGGCCCUGUUAAAAAUGUUUAAAUGUCGUUUGGUUUAAGGAACAGCACACUGAUUUUGUUUUAAAAUAUUCCUGUUUGGACAGUCUGUUAAAGUCAUAAAGGAAUACUUGAUAUAUUUCAUAAGUAAAGUGUAAAUGUAAUAUUAGUUUUUAAUGUUGUGAAUUUGGACUGAACAGCACACUUCUGUUUUAUAUCUAAACCUUUUGUAAAAUAAAUGAUUGUUCAAUAAACUGUGUAUUUUAUCUU